UUGAACGCUGGCGGCAUGCCUUACACAUGCAAGUCGAACGGUAGAGGGGCAACCCUUGAGAGUGGCGAACGGGUGAGUAAUAUAUCGGAACGUGCCCAGUCGUGGGGGAUAACGCAGCGAAAGCUGCGCUAAUACCGCAUACGAUCUAUGGAUGAAAGCGGGGGAUCGCAAGACCUCGCGCGAUUGGAGCGGCCGAUAUCAGAUUAGGUAGUUGGUGGGGUAAAAGCCCACCAAGCCGACGAUCUGUAGC
rnacentral:rRNA from 1 species